AAAAGGAAGAAAAUUUGGAGAAAAUCGGACUUAAAAUGGAUAGUGAAUGAAGACUCAAAUUUAAGCUGAAAAUAGACCCACAAUCGACCCAAAAAUCAAAUAAAACUAGCCCAAAUUAAUUUAAAUUGACCGCCCGAUAUACGGUGGACCGAUCGCUCGGUCCACAGAAUAAAAAUCGCGGUCCAUAGAAAAUUAUCCCGAUCCACAAUCGUGGUUCAUGGGGCAGGCGGUUGAGUUUUGCACAAUCAAACAACUG
rnacentral:lncRNA from 1 species